rnacentral:rRNA from 1 species
UACGAAGCGGGCUAGCGUUGCUCGGAAUCACUGGGCGUAAAGGGCGCGUAGGCGGAUCUUUAAGUCGGGGGUGAAAGCCCAGGGCUCAACCCUGGAAUUGCCUUCGAUACUGGAGAUCUUGAGACCGGAAGAGGUAAGUGGAACUGCGAGUGUAGAGGUGAAAUUCGUAGAUAUUCGCAAGAACACCAGUGGCGAAGGCGGCUUACUGGUCCGGUUCUGACGCUGAGGCGCGAAAGCGUGGGGAGCGAUCCGG